CCGUAAGAGAACUCAUUGAGACAGAGGAAGAAUUUGGCAGAGAUUUACAAAACAUAGUUGACCGUUACAUCAAACCUACCGACAAAUCUGCAGCCCCGCGCAUUGUUCGAGACAGUAAAGACAUUAUCUUCACAAAUUUUCAACAAAUUGCCGAAUUUCACAACUUAGUAUUAAUAGAAGGACUUAAAUAUUACUCGGAGCAACCCAACAUGAUAGCUAAAACGUUUCUAAGACUUGAAAGGGAUUUCGACAAGCAUGUUAAAUACUGUGAAACAGAACCUCUCGCUCAAGCAUUUCUCACAGAAAACAAAGAAGCCAAUGAAUAUUUUCAGCUUACCUGGAAAUACAUCGAUUACAACAAAAAACACAAAUAAUACCCAGAUUUCUGCGACGGAUUAUGGUAGAAGGGAACCGAUCAAAAUUUCCCCCUUUUUGCACAUUCUUUUGGUAAAUCGGCUGUUACGUAAUUGGAUGCCGGGGCACGGCGCGGGGUAUGAAGGCAUGUUGGCGACCCCAGGCUAAAAAAAAUUUGCAUCGAUAACUUAAAGUUGUGAUACACAAUGGCUAGAGGCGUCGCACUAUAGGCAA